GACGAACGCUGGCGGCGUGCUUAACACAUGCAAGUCGAACGGAAAGGCCCUGCUUUUGUGGGGUGCUCGAGUGGCGAACGGGUGAGUAACACGUGAGUAACCUGCCCUUGACUUUGGGAUAACUUCAGGAAACUGGGGCUAAUAACGGAUAGGAGCUCCUGCUGCAUGGUGGGGGUUGGAAAGUUUCGGCGGUUGGGGAUGGACUCGCGGCUUAUCAGCUUGUUGGUGGGGUAGUGGCUUACCAAGGCUUUGACGGGUAGCCGGCCUGAGAGGGUGACCGGCCACAUUGGGACUGAGAUACGGCCCAGACUCCUACGGGAGGCAGCAGUGGGGAAUAUUGCACAAUGGGCGGAAGCCUGAUGCAGCAACGCCGCGUGCGGGAUGACGGCCUUCGGGUUGUAAACCGCUUUCGCCUGUGACGAAGCGUGAGUGGCGGUAAUGGGUAAAGAAGCACCGGCUAACUACGUG
rnacentral:rRNA from 1 species